rnacentral:rRNA from 1 species
UACUGGGCGUAAGCGUGCGCAGGCGGUUUUGUAAGACAGGCGUGAAAUCCCCGGGCUUAACCUGGGAACUGCGUUUGUGACUGCAAGGCUAGAGUACGGCAGAGGGGGGUGGAAUUCCACGUGUAGCAGUGAAAUGCGUAGAGAUGUGGAGGAACACCAAUGGCGAAGGCAGCCCCCUGGGUCGAUACUGACGCUCAUGCACGAAAGCGUGGGUAGCAAACAGGAUUAGAUACCCUGGUAGUCCACGCCCUAAACGAUGUCAACUAGGUGUUGGGAGGGUAAAACCUUUUAGUGCCGAUAGCUAAC